GAAGAUGCUAUGAACGCUAAUGGAGAAAACGCUAACGCUAGCGCGACCUCUUUCAAACCCAAGAAAAACUGACGAGUUCCAGACUGCUCUAAUCAGCGAAUUACAUCUGAGUUCUGUGUGAUACAAGUGUCUGACAGAAUUGAUGUCAAGGAGGAUUCGGCCUGAUUCAAUGAGAGAUUGAGGACCAAUUUUUUUCAACUUCAGCCAACUGUUGGAGCAUCACCCAAAGCAGAUAAGGUCAACUUCGCUCCAAAAUUCUUCACACAAUAUACAGUCACACUAUCCCGAUAGUACACACAUACACUGAAUAGUACAACAGACAUUGAGGCACAGCAGCAAAAGACUUUGAAGGGACUGUUCAAAUUCAAUAUUUUUUAUUUAGAUAGUUCGUGUAUAUUUUUGGGAUUAUAUGAUUUUGUGAGUUCUGUAGUACUUUGAAUAAAUGUUGUUGUUGUAUUUUCUUACUAGCUGCCCUUGCUCCUUGAGUUGAACCUGUGUAUAUUACUAUUCCAUACUUAGUAACAUCAAAACAAAAUUCUUGUUCACAUAAGCAAAAGAAAUUACUAGUGGGAUGAGCAAAUUAUUGCUUGGAUAAAAUAUUCUAUCACAUGCAUUAAUAACAAUAGCAAUUUAUCUGAA